ACGCAUUCAGGCCUCGCAGACCUCGCCGGCCUGGAUUCUGUGGCCCUUGCGGGCCAUGUGCGCCAUCUCCGCUUCCUCUAUCACUUCCAAGCUUCGUGAGGGACCUGCUUGCUUACUUCCUCACACGGCAUCUCCUCCCCAUUUCAUCUGCCUCCUCUCUCUAUCACUCACUCAUGUGAUGCGCCUGGCCUCCGUUUCCAAGGAUUUUAGGGUUUUGUGGUGGGGUGAUGAUUUCCUUUGUUCAUUCAUUUGGCAUGCCUUGUGUUGAACCUUGUGUUUUUGUCCUUCGUCACGCACAUGUGGGGUGAUGGUGGUUUUGCGGGUUUCGAUCAGAUCUAGGAUCUCCGUGUACGAUUGUGGCAUGCAUGAUAAAUACGUCACAUUGUGUCAGAUCUUUCAUUUUGUCUUGUUUCUAUUUAGCUUUUUGUUUUGAUUUCCUCCUUGGGAACCGAUUUGCACCGUGUCCGGCUUUUGAAACGUACUGUGUCAUGCUUACAAGUCAAGUUUUGAAUGUGUAGGUAUUCAGAUACCAUUUGAUGGUGGGUUUUGUUUUUCUCACAAAUUUGUAGAAUGGCUUUGUAUAUUACUGAUGAACAUAUUUGUUAAAGCAGCCCAGAACAUUUAAUAAUUAAUUGCUUUGAUUAUGCAAUUCAUGGGAGUGGUGUUACUGAAGUGAGGAGCUUUGAAACAACCCUUGUGUUGGUCUUUGCUGUGGAACGGAGAGUGAAUUGCCACCUUGUUGUGACACCAUCUUCACUACUUGCUGCUUACACCAUCUUCACUACUUUCAUUAUUAUGCUUGCAAAAAGAAACUGGUUUAAACCAAAUAAAUUAAACCAGUUUUCAUAUGCAAAAUUCUAAUACAAGAUUAUCUCACUAACUUUACAUGUACACAUAUGCCCAACUUGAGUGUAAACAAAUUAAAAAAUGGAAUACUAGGACAAAAAUGUGAAUGAUACCAAAGAAUUACAUGUUGCAAAGAGAAAAUUAAGUUUGUGU
rnacentral:lncRNA from 1 species